AAGAGCAACAUUGAAGACCUUCCUGUGCCUCCUGACAGGACGGCACAGGAACUGAAAGACCAGCGGGGAGAAUGGGAGACACAUCAUGUGUCUGAUGGCGGCACAUCUUCCUCUCCUGGGGUUGUGAUGGGUGGUCCUGCCACCACCCGGAGUCCCAGGAAGGAAGAUGUCAGGCCAGCUCUCAUUUCACUGAGAAAUGAGAGCUGUUUGAAGUGGACGCCGCGG